AAACUAACAAGGAUUCCCCUAGUAACGGCGAGUGAAGAGGGAAGAGCCCAAGAUUGAAAGCUGGCGUCUUCGGCGUCCGCAUUGUAAUCUCAAGAAGUGUUUUCCGCUUCGGACCAAGCCUAAGUCCCCUGGAAAGGGGCAUCAUAGAGGGUGAUAAUCCCGUACAUGGCUUGGAGCGCCCGAGGCUUUGUGAUACGCUUUCUAAGAGUCGAGUUGUUUGGGAAUGCAGCUCAAAAUGGGUGGUAAAUGCCAUCUAAGGCUAAAUAUUGGGGAGAGACCGAUAGCGAACAAGUACAGUGAUGGAAAGAUGAAAAGAACUUUGAAAAGAGAGUUAAACAGUACGUGAAAUUGCCAAAAGGGAAGGGUAGGAGGUCAGAGAUGCGGCCUGGGAUUCAGCCUUGCUUUUGCUUGGUGUUUUUCCCAGAUUGCAGGCCAACGUCGGUUUUGGGCACUGGAGAAGGGUAGGAGGAACGUGGCACCCCUCGGGGUGUGUUAUAGCCUCCUACUGGAUACAGCGACCGAGACCGAGGACAGCAGCGUACUCGCAAGAGCGGGCCUUCGGGCACCUUUACGCUUAGGGCGUUGG
rnacentral:rRNA from 1 species